rnacentral:rRNA from 1 species
GACGUAGGGGGCAAGCGUUGUCCGGAAUCAUUGGGCGUAAAGCGCACGUAGGCGGUCUUUUAAGUCGGGGGUGAAAUCCUGGAGCUCAACUCCAGAACUGCCUUCGAUACUGGAAGACUUGAGUCCGGGAGAGGUGAGUGGAACUGCGAGUGUAGAGGUGAAAUUCGUAGAUAUUCGCAAGAACACCAGUGGCGAAGGCGGCUCACUGGCCCGGUACUGACGCUGAGGUGCGAAAGCGUGGGGAGCAAACAGG